CCUACGGGAGGCAGCAGUAGGGAAUCUUCCGCAAUGGACGAAAGUCUGACGGAGCAACGCCACGUGAGCGAUGAAGGCCUUCGGGUCGUAAAGCUCUGUUGUCAGGGAAGAACAAGUAUCGGAGUAACUGCCGGUACCUUGACGGUACCUGACCAGAAAGCCACGGCUAACUACGUGCCAGCAGCCGCGGUAAUACGUAGGUGGCAAGCGUUGUCCGGAAUUAUUGGGCGUAAAGCGCGCGCAGGCGGUUCCUUAAGUCUGAUGUGAAAGCCCCCGGCUCAACCGGGGAGGGUCAUUGGAAACUGGGGAACUUGAGUGCAGAAGAGGAGAGCGGAAUUCCACGUGUAGCGGUGAAAUGCGUAGAGAUGUGGAGGAACACCAGUGGCGAAGGCGGCUCUCUGGUCUGUAACUGACGCUGAGGCGCGAAAGCGUGGGGAGCGAACAGGAUUAGAUACCCUGGUAGUCCACGCCGUAAACGAUGAGUGCUAAGUGUUAGAGGGUUUCCGCCCUUUAGUGCUGCAGCAAACGCAUUAAGCACUCCGCCUGGGGAGUACGGCCGCAAGGCUGAAACUCAAAGGAAUUGACGG
rnacentral:rRNA from 1 species